UACCAGCUCUCCGAGUGGUAGGGAUGAUUAUUGGGCUUAAAGCGUCCGUAGCCGGCUUAGCAAGUCUCCUGUUAAAUUCAGCGACCUAAUCGUUGAGCCGCGGGAGAUACUACUAGGCUAGGAGGCGGGAGAGGUCAACGGUACUUCCGGGGUAGGGGUGAAAUCCUAUAAUCCCGGGAGGACCACCAGUGGCGAAGGCUGUUGACUAGAACGCGCUCGACGGUGAGGGACGAAAGCUGGGGGAGCGAACCGGAUUAGAUACCCGGGUAGUCCCAGCUGUAAACGAUGCGAGCUAGGUGUUGGGGUGGCUACGUGCCACUUCAGUGCCGCAGGGAAGCCAUUAAGCUCGCCGCCUGGUGAGUACGGCCGCAAGGCUAGAAACUUAAAGGAAUUGGGCGGGGGAGCACCACAAGGCGUGAAGCUUGCGGUUC
rnacentral:rRNA from 1 species